UGUGAGUCAUUGCAGUAAUGCAAGGCAGACGGCUCAGUAACACGUAGUCAACCUACCCUAUAGACGGGGAUAACCUCAGGAAACUGAGGAUAAACCCCGAUAGAUCAUUAUGCCUGGAACGGUUUAUGGUCCAAAUGAUUCGUCGCUAUAGGAUGGGACUGCGGCCUAUCAGCUUGUUGGUGAGGUAAUGGCCCACCAAGACUAUUACAGGUACGGGCUCUGAGAGGAGUAGCCCGGAGAUGGGUACUGAGACACGGACCCAGGCCCUAUGGGGCGCAGCAGGCGAGAAAACUUUGCAAUGUGCGAAAGCACGACAAGGUUAAUCCGAGUGAUUCCUGCUAAAGGAAUCUUUUGUUAGUCAUAAUACCACUAACGAAUAAGGGGUGGGCAAGUUCUGGUGUCAGCCGCCGCGGUAAAACCAGCACCUCAAGUGGUCAGGAUGAUUAUUGGGCCUAAAGCAUCCGUAGCCGGCUUUGUUAGUUUUCGGUUAAAUCCAUAUGCUCAACAUAUGGGCUGCCGGGAAUACUGCAAAGCUAGGGAGUGGGAGAGGUAGACGGUACUCCGUAGGAAGGGGUAAAAUCCUUUGAUCUAUGGAUGACCACCUGUGGCGAAGGCGGUCUACCAGAACACGUCCGACGGUGAGGGAUGAAAGCUGGGGGAGCAAACCGGAUUAGAUACCCGGGUAGUCCCAGCUGUAAACUAUGCAAACUCAGUGAUGCAUUGGCUUGUGGCCAGUGCAGUGCCGCAGGGAAGCCGUUAAGUUUGCCGCCU
rnacentral:rRNA from 1 species